CUCCUUUUUCUCUUUUGGUUAAAAGAGAGCAUUGUCGUUCUCAGCCAUGUGCUCUGUAUAAUUAAGAGCUGACACUGAAGUGGAGUAACAACAGCUUCUAAUUUUUUUACCCCUGAUCACAGGUGCAAACAUCUCAAGCCAGUUCAGAUGUUGCUGUUUCCUCAAGUUGCAGGUCUAUGGAAAUGCAGGAUCUAACCAGCCCGCAUAGCCGUCUGAGUGGUAGUAGUGAAUCCCCCAGUGGCCCCAAACUCGAUAACUCUCAUAUAAAUAGUAAUUCCAUGACUCCCAAUGGCACCGAAGUUAAAACAGAGCCAAUGAGCAGCAGUGAAACAGCUUCAACAACAGCAGACGGGUCUUUAGACAAUUUCUCAGGUUCAGCAAUUGGGAGCAGUAGUUUCAGCCCACGACCAACUCACCAGUUCUCUCCACCACAGAUUUACCCUUCCAAGUAAGAUGUAUUUUCUCUUAAUCAAUAAAUAACUUCUCUGAGUAGACUUUUAUUUAUUUAAAGUCAUGUCUGUGCCCGCAUAUUCCAUCUCAAUUUAAAUGAAAGUGCAUUUCAUAGACAUGUAAAUAUAUUGACACAAAUUUAUUUUGAGCAUCAUGUAGUGGAGACACUGAAGUAUUUCAGUGCUUUGUCAAUUCUGUGUGAAAGUUUUACUUUAAGAUACAAUAUUUAGCUGGAAUUUGUGAUGUGGUUGUUAAUCGGUUUGCAUGUUUCCAUCUAAUGCAUGGGCUUUCUAUUUUCUGUCAUUUCUGACAAAUAGCAGACCAUACCCACAUAUUCUCCCUACCCCUUCCUCACAAACUAUGGCUGCAUAUGGGCAAACACAGUUUACCACAGGAAUGCAACAAGCUACAGCCUAUGCCACGUACCCACAGCCAGGACAGCCGUACGGCAUUUCCUCAUAUGGUGCAUUGUGGGCAGGCAUCAAGACUGAAGGUGGAUUGUCACAGUCUCAGUCACCUGGACAGACAGGAUUUCUCAGCUAUGGCACAAGCUUCAGUACCCCUCAACCUGGACAGGCACCAUACAGCUACCAGAUGCAAGGUAGCAGUUUUACAACAUCAUCAGGAUUAUAUACAGGAAAUAAUUCACUCACAAAUUCCUCUGGUUUUAAUAGUUCACAGCAGGACUAUCCAUCUUAUCCCGGUUUUGGCCAGGGUCAGUAUGCACAGUAUUAUAACAGCUCACCGUAUCCAGCACAUUAUAUGACCAGCAGCAACACCAGCCCAACGACACCAUCCACCAAUGCCACUUACCAGCUUCAAGAACCACCAUCUGGCAUCACCAGCCAAGCAGUUACAGAUCCCACAGCAGAGUACAGCACAAUCCACAGCCCAUCAACACCCAUUAAAGAUUCAGAUUCUGAUCGAUUGCGUCGAGGUUCAGAUGGGAAAUCACGUGGACGGGGCCGAAGAAACAAUAAUCCUUCACCUCCCCCAGAUUCUGAUCUUGAGAGAGUGUUCAUCUGGGACUUGGAUGAGACAAUCAUUGUUUUCCACUCCUUGCUUACUGGGUCCUACGCCAACAGAUAUGGGAGGGAUCCACCCACUUCAGUUUCCCUUGGACUGCGAAUGGAAGAAAUGAUUUUCAACUUGGCAGACACACAUUUAUUUUUUAAUGACUUAGAAGAAUGUGACCAAGUCCAUAUAGAUGAUGUUUCUUCAGAUGAUAAUGGACAGGACCUAAGCACAUAUAACUUUGGAACAGAUGGCUUUCCUGCUGCAGCAACCAGUGCUAAUUUAUGUUUGGCAACUGGUGUACGGGGCGGUGUGGACUGGAUGAGAAAGUUGGCCUUCCGCUACAGACGGGUAAAAGAGAUCUACAACACCUACAAAAAUAAUGUUGGAGGUCUGCUUGGUCCAGCUAAGAGGGAAGCCUGGCUGCAGUUGAGGGCCGAAAUUGAAGCCCUGACCGACUCCUGGUUGACACUGGCCCUGAAAGCACUCUCACUCAUUCACUCCCGGACAAACUGUGUGAAUAUUUUAGUAACAACUACUCAGCUCAUCCCAGCAUUGGCGAAAGUCCUGCUAUAUGGAUUAGGAAUUGUAUUUCCAAUAGAAAAUAUUUACAGUGCAACUAAAAUAGGAAAAGAAAGCUGUUUUGAGAGAAUAAUUCAAAGGUUUGGAAGAAAAGUGGUGUAUGUUGUUAUAGGAGAUGGUGUAGAAGAAGAACAAGGAGCAAAAAAGCACGCGAUGCCCUUCUGGAGGAUCUCCAGCCACUCGGACCUCAUGGCCCUGCACCACGCCUUGGAACUGGAGUACCUGUAACAGCGCUCAGCACUUUGACAGCGCACAGCUGCUCUGUGACCAGGGACAGAUCCAGCAGGCCCCAGUCUCGCAUCAGCGCCAGCCUCCAGAACUUAGCAA
rnacentral:sRNA from 1 species